rnacentral:rRNA from 1 species
GUGUCGCCUGCCCAGUGAAAACUUUAAACGGCCGCGGUAUCCUAACCGUGCAAAGGUAGCAUAAUCACUUGUCCUCUAAAUAAGGACUAGAAUGAAUGGCUAAAUGAAGACUAAACUGUCUCUUGUAGACCACCUAUGAAACUGAUCUUUUAGUCAAAAAGCUAAAAUUUACCCACAAGACGAGAAGACCCUGUGGAGCUUAAAACCAAAUUCAUACAAUGACCCAUUGGUUUUUAGUUGGGGCGACUUCGGAGUAUAAAAAACCCUCCGACACCACCUAAUAGAUUAACAGAUCAAAAUGUAUUCAGACCCAGUAGCUUAUAACUAACUGAUUAAUGAACCAAGUUACCCCAGGGAUAACAGCGCUAUCCUCUUCUAGAGUCCUUAUCGACAAGGGGGCUUACGACCUCGAUGUUGGAUCAGGACACCCUAAUAGUGCAACCGCUAUUGAAGGUUCGUUUGUUCAACGAUUAAAGUCCUACGUGAUCUGAGUCAGAA